GAUGAACGCUGGCGGCGUGCCUAAUACAUGCAAGUCGAGCGAACAGACGAGGAGCUUGCUCCUCUGACGUUAGCGGUGGACGGGUGAGUAACACGUGGAUAACCUACCUAUAAGACUGGGAUAACUUCGGGAAACCGGAGCUAAUACCGGAAAACAUGUUGAACCGCCUGGUUCAACAGUGAAAGACGGUCUUGCUGUCACUUAUAGAUGGAUCCGCGCCGCAUUAGCUAGUUGGCAAGGUAACGGCUUACCAAGGCAACGAUGCGUAGCCGACCUGAGAGGGUGAUCGGCCACACUGGAACUGAGACACGGUCCAGACUCCUACGGGAGGCAGCAGUAGGGAAUCUUCCGCAAUGGGCGAAAGCCUGACGGAGCAACGCCGCGUGAGUGAAGAAGGUCUUCGGAUCGUAAAACUCUGUUAUUAGGGAAGAACAAAUGUGUAAGUAACUAUGCACGUCUUGACGGUACCUAAUCAGAAAGCCACGGCUAACUACGUGCCAGCCGCCGCGGUAA
rnacentral:rRNA from 1 species